rnacentral:rRNA from 1 species
UGGGGAAUAUUGGACAAUGGGGGGAACCCUGAUCCAGCGAAGCCGCGUGAGUGAAGAAGUAUUUCGGUAUGUAAAGCUCUAGCAGCAGGGAAGAAAGAAAGGACGGUACCUGACUAAGAAGCCCCGGCUAACUACGUGCCAGCAGCCGCGGUAAUACGUAGGGGGCAAGCGUUAUCCGGAUUUACUGGGUGUAAAGGGAGCGUAGACGGCGAUGCAAGUCUGAAGUGAAAGGCGGGGGCCCAACCCCCGGACUGCUUUGGAAAACUGUAUAGCUGGAGUGCAGGAGAGGUAAGUGGAAUUCCUAGUGUAGCGGUGAAAUGCGUAGAUAUUAGGAGGAACACCAGUGGCGAAGGCGGCUUACUGGACUGUAACUGACGUUGAGGCUCGAAAGCGUGGGGAGCAAACAGG